rnacentral:lncRNA from 1 species
CACUCAAACUUUCAAAAUAGCAUUUCUAUUCGUCCUUCCCCACUUCCCCCUCCCCGCUCCCCCAAAAAAGGAAAGAAAGGAAAAAGAAAAAAAUAAGAAGAGAAAAAGAUACUAUGUACAAAGCAAAUGAAAAAAAGAGUCCCCGUGCACUUGGAAAAACUGAGGAUUUCGGGAAUAGUUGAUUUAGACCAAUGUCUGUUUUAAUUUGUCUAUAUUUUGACUAACCACAAGUCAGUCUGAAAGCUCACCCUUUUUCUCUGCUGCGAGCAGCUUGUUCCUCUUACAUCGGGCUUCUCCGGCGAACUCCUCGCCGGUCUCUUUCUCCGGCGAAAUCGAUCUAUAAGUUUUUACAUCUUUCUCUCUCUCUAAAUUUGCUACUUUCUGUCUCUCACUCGACAAGAAAACCCUAAUCCCCUCGCCAAGUGAUUGUUAAAGGUACAAUGCAAACGCAAGUGAGCUUUUGUCUUUUUUCUCCCCUUUUACGAUGCAUAAAUAUAGUUACAGUUCCGAUUUGUAAAUAUUGCAUUGUGCCCAAACUGAUCUGCAUUCUUAAUUACUGUAAGAUUUUCUCUCAAAAAGGGAAGACAAUGGAUUUUUAAGGCUGUUGUCAUUCUUAAGUGUUUAAGUUAGGUUUGAAGUUACAUAAACGGACAGUGUAAAGAUUUUUUACAUUAUAGUGAAUUUUGAUCUUUGAUAGCAGGUUAAUUACCAUAUUUAUCAGAUUAUCAAUUAAUGCUUAUCAAGAAGUUUACCUGUAAUUACCUUAUAAGUAACUUGAUAGUGUAAACUACACGGACUGAAUGAGCUUUUUUCUUUUUGUUCUGUUUGUAUUUAUAUUGUUUAAUUUUAUAGCAAAUAUUUGAUAUGGAAUUACUCUAUAUCGUAUAGAAUGCAAGAUUAGAUUAUUUUUGAAAAAAAUACCAAGACUUAGACUAAAUUAUGCCAUUGUGCUUUUUUCUUUUUGCAGGUUAUGGAAACUUCAUCUAGUGGAUAUCGGUUUCGGAGAAUACCACGCCACUCCUUUGCUGGUUCUGUGAAUUUAGAUCCCCUGGUGAGUUUGGUAUUCAAGUAUUUGGACUUAAUAAUCCUUAACAGAAACUGAUUGAGAGUGGGAGGAAAUGAUUCUUUAUUGGUCUCAUUCUGUUAUCUUUCUUUUUAUUCUAGUGCUUUCUGAAUUGUUAAUAAAGAAUUACAAAAAGUUGAGAAAUUUAAGCUUAAUAUUCUUUAGAACUAAGCCGACAGCACUUCAGUUUGUGCUGCAAAGCAGUUAUAGGCAAAUUACUAACAAAGCCAUACUGUUUGGUCCAUAAAGAUGCUAAGAAGACCACCACUCGCUGAACGGAUUUUUUCAUGUAUUUAUCUUCGGAGUCCCUACAUAGAUUGUCUACUUGCUGGAGUAGAUACAUGCACUGCAAGUGAACGAGGAGAGUAAAACAACAACAACGACCCAGUAUAGUACCAUAAGUGGAUUUGGGGAGGAUAGUGUGUACACAAACCGUACCUCUAUUCCGAUGGGGUAGAGAGGCUAUUUCUAAAAGAUCCUCGGCUCAAGAAGACGAAAAGACAAAAAAAAUAUGUCAGUACCCUCAUGGAAAUAAUAACACAACAUAAGAACCAGUGAAUAGAUGAAAGGCAUAAAUAAUGACCAGUAAAUAAUGCACGACACUGUGAAAACGGAAGAUUAGUGUAAACACAACCCUGCCACUAGCAGUCUAAAACUAAAUCCUAUCAGCCUAACCUCACACCGAGGGACUAAAUAUGCUCAACCCCCUCCUAACCCAAAACCUUAAUGCUUGACCUCCACAGCUUCCUAUCGAGUGCCACGUCCUCGGAGAUCUAAAGUCUCGCCAUAUCCCGCCUAAUCACCUCUGGCCGCUCUUUACCUCUCCUUGUAUCCACCAACACCAACCGCUCACACCUCCUUAUUGGGACAUCCAAGCUCCUCCUUUGAACAUGCCCGAACCAUAUGAGUCUCGCUUCCCGCAUCUUAUCAUCAAUAGGAGUCACACCCACCUUCUCUCGAAUAUCUUCAUUCCUAAUCUUAUCCAUCCUAGUGUGCCUGCACAUCCACCUCAGCAUCCUCAUUUCUGCUACUUUCAUCUUCUGGGUAUGUGAGUUCUUAACCGGCCAACACUCAGCCCCAUACAACAUAGCCGGCCUAACCACCACUCUAUAAAACUUAACUUUGAGUAGCAAAAGUUUCUCGUCACAUAGGACUCCAGAUGCUUGCCUCUAUUUCGUUCACUCCACUCCUAUACGGAGUAUGACCUCCUCGUCUAUCUCCCCACCCCCAUGGAUAACUGACCCAAGGUACUUGAAAUUGUCUCUCUUGGAAAUGACAUGCGAUCCAAGCCUACGUCCAUGCCCUCUUUCCUCGGCUUGGCACUGAACUUACACUCAAGGUAUUCCGUCUUUGUCCUGCUCGACUUGAAACCCUUUGACUCAAGGGCUUGUCUCCAAACCUCCAGCCUCUCGUUAACGCCACUCCGCGUCUUGUCAAUCAGAAUAAUGUCAUCAGCGAAUAACAUACACCAGGCACCUCUCCUUGAACAUGGUGUGUUAGUGCAUCCAUCAUCAGAGCAAACAUGAAUGGGCUGGGUUGAGCGCAGAUCCUCUGUGUAACCCCAUAACAUCUGGAAAAUGCUCGGAGUCGCCUCUCACUGUUCUAACUCGAGUCUUAGCUCCAUCAUACAUGUCCUUAAUCGCUCUAAUGUAAGCAACCGACACACCUUUAGCCUCUAGGCAUCUCCAAAGAACCUCUCUUAGAACCUUGUCAUAUGCUUUCUCUACAUAAAUAAACACCAUGUGCAGAUCCUUCUUUCUAUCUCUGUACUAUCCACCAACCUCCUAACAAGGUGGAUAGCUUCCGUAGUAGAACGAUCUGAUAUGAACCUAACUGGUUGUCUGAUACAGACACCGUCCUCACCCUCGCUUCUACUACCCUCUCCACAUUUUCAUGAUAUGAUUGAUACCCCUAUAAUUGCUGCAACUCUGGAUGUCACCUUUGUUCUUGUACAAUGGAACCACCGUACUCCAUCUCCACUUGUCCGGCAUCCUCUUCGUCCUAAAAAUAACAUUAAACAACGCUGUCAGCCACUCCAUACUUACUUUACCCACACACCUCCAAAAUUCUACCAGAAUUUCGCCGGGCCCGGUAGAUCUGCCUCUGCUCAUUUUUCGCAUAGCUCCCACGACCUUCCCAUCCUUGAUGCGCCUACAGUACCCAAAAUCACGGUGGCUCUCGGAAGCCCCUACUCGCUUAGCACAAUAUCCUGAUCCCUCUUUCAUUCAGAAAUUUAUGAAAGUAAGUCUUCCAUCUCCGCUUAAUCUGGGCCUCUCCCAUCAAUACUCUACCAUCCUCGUCUUUGAUGCACCUCACUUGAUCCAGAUCCCGCGCCUUCCUCUCCCUCACCUUAGCCAGCCGGAAUAAUUUCUUCUCUCUACCUUUGGCCCCUAGAUCCUUGUAUAGAUGACUAAAAGCCACAGUCUUAGCCUUCGUGACCGCCAUUUUCGCCCUCCUUCCUAGCUGCUUUAUACCUCUUCCUGUUUGCACUCCUCUCAACCUUGCAUGUGCUCCCUACUAACUUUAGGUACGCCGCCUUCUUCGCUUCCACUUUACUUUGGACCACUUCAUUCCACCACCGGUCGCCUUUGUGCCCGCGAACGAAACCCUGUGAGACUCCCAACACCUCUCUCGCUGCCUCUCAUAUAUAAUUCGCCGUGGUCGACCACAUAAGCUCGCGUCCCCACUACUCUUCCAGGCUCCCACAACUGAUAGCCUCCCUUCCAACUUUAGAGCUUUAUCCUUAGUCAAGGCUCCCCGCCUGAUCCUCGGUCGAUCGCGUGCAGUCCUCUUACUCCUCUUAAUCAUAAUACCGACGUCCAUCACUAAGAGCCUAUGCUGCGUCACGAGGGUCUCAUCCGGGAUAAUCUUGCAAUCAUUACACAACCCUCUGUCGCACCUCCUAAAGAGCAGAUAGUCAAUCUGAGUCUUCGCCAUCGUGCUAUGUAAAGUAACCAAAUGCUCCUCCCUCUUUGGAAAACUAAAGUUAGCAAUUGCUUGCUCAAUGCACUUGCGAAAUCCAACAGCAAAGUUCCUCCUGCGUUCCUAUCCCCAAAACCAAAGCCAUCACGCACCUCCCCAUAGCUGCCCACAGUCGACCCAAUAUGACCAUUUAAAUCCCCUCCUAUAAAUAAGCUCUCAGCAGGCGAAAUCUACAUACAAUCUCAUCCAACCCCUCCCAGAAGCGCCUCUUGACCUCCUCAUCCAAGCUUGCUUGCGGCACAUACGCAGUAACUACAUUUAGGGUGCACUUUCCAACCACUAACUUAAUAGACAUUAACCUAUCGUUCACCCGCGUAACCUCUACCACAAAUUCUCUAAGUUUUCCUAUCCACCAAAAUGCCUACACCAUUUUUACCCUUCAGAACUCCAGAGUACCACAACUUAUACUCGUCUGCAUUCCUCGCCCUCGAUCCUACCUACCGAGUCUUUUGGACACACGCUAUAUUGACCUUCUUCUUCUGUAGGAUCUUCGCUAGCUCUAUAGACUUACCCGUCAAUGUACCUAUGUUUCAUGACCCAGUUCUCAAGCUAUAGGCACCUUGUGCCCCUUACCUCUCUUGCCUCCUGUUUUUGUACACAACAACACUGAUACGACACCUAGAAGUUGUCCGUGGUGUACACAAUACUGAUACGGCACCUAGCAGUUCUCUUAUGAUGCUCUCUCCUUGCUCGUCUCCAAUAGCCACCACGUAUUUCCUGAAACACAAGAACCAAAAAAGGUGCUGGCUCCGCUACCAUGGUUGGAGCCCCAACAAAAGCAAAGAAGAGUAAAGUAAGAGGAAAUGAGGGUGGAAUAAUAGGGGGAAUAUUUGGUCUAUGAACCCGUGUGAAGAAAGAAAUAGAGAAGUUCGUUUGCCAGAAUAUAGCAAUCGCAGCGGCGAUCGGAAAAUCUCAAUUCGAUAAUCAGAACUUUAAAAUGUUUUUGUCAAAAAAGUACUUUAAUUGAAGAUAAAAAAGGAUACUAAAUUGUUUAGAGAAUAAGAUUAAACGGUGAGACUAACUAUUUCGGUAAGGCUCCGAUUAUCGGAGUAUAUGCUCAAAACUUGGAGUGAAUUCGGAAAUCACGAAGAGGAAAUGGUUUUGAAUGUAAGCAAAAAAUCUUAUUCGUAGAUGUUAGUACGUAAUUUUAAAGAAGGUUUCAAAGCCAAAGAUCUCCCGACCAUAGAUUUUGCAAAGUCUCCAAGAAAUUCCCUAGGAAUAGAUUUCACCGGAGAAAAGGGAGACGUGGAGAAGCAAGCUUGCUGCCGACGAAGAGUGGUUUUAGUUUUCAAAAUCUCAGAUAUUUUGAUUGAUUGUUCACGGUAAAAUCUCACAAUCUCAAUUAGUGUGUAUUUAUUCUUACCAAUUUUAGAAAUUUCAGAACAAGAACAAAACAAUAUUUUGAUUCAAACGCAAAAAUCAAAUGCAAAAAAGUGGAUAUUCAGAAAAUAAAGCUUAUAAAAUGAAAUACUGAUCAAGAAAAAUUGCGAAAAAAUUACCGUGGUGAUGAGAUUGAAGGAUGAGAAUUGAUUUCUACAACAACAACAACAACCCAGUAUAAUCCCACUUAGUGGGGUCUGGGAGGGUAGUGUGUACGNNNNNNNNNNNNNNNNNNNNNNNNNNNNNNNNNNNNNNNNNNNNNNNNNNNNNNNNNNNNNNNNNNNNNNNNNNNNNNNNNNNNNNNNNNNNNNNNNNNNNNNNNNNNNNNNNNNNNNNNNNNNNNNNNNNNNNNNCCCUCCAAGAACUUCCCACCUUGCUCUUGGGGAGACUCGAACUCACAACCUCUUGGUUGGAAGUGGGGGUUGCUUACCAUCAGAGCAACCCAUCUUCUAUAAGACGAAAAUUAAAUACCAAUCUUUCAAAAAAACCCCAGUGAGAUUCUUGAAAAAAAAUGAUGGAUCAAUCUUUUGAAUUGGGAACGGUUUUGAAUUCAGAUUCGAAGGAAAAGGGGAUAUCGCUACCGAGGAGUUCGCCGGAGAUAAAUCUAAAAACUUAUAUACAUACCACAACAAGCAACAAAUACCUGGAGAAGUGCAAUGUGGAUUUGAAAUCAAUGAUUAAUCGAAAACGGCUUACCGAUGCGAAAAUGCAGAAAGCGAAGUAGUUUUUGGCCAUUGAGAACUUCGAAUAUUUUGGCAAUGGUAUGUUAAUGGUAUAUACUGUUAGAAGUCUA